UAGGGAAUAUUGCACAAUGGGGGAAACCCUGAUGCAGCGACGCCGCGUGAAGGAAGAAGUAUCUCGGUAUGUAAACUUCUAUCAGCAGGGAAGAAGAAAGUGACGGUACCUGACUAAGAAGCCCCGGCUAACUACGUGCCAGCAGCCGCGGUAAUACGUAGGGGGCAAGCGUUAUCCGGAUUUACUGGGUGUAAAGGGAGCGCAGGCGGCGUGCCAAGUCUGAUGUGAAAGCCCGGGGCCCAACCCCGGAACUGCAUUGGAAACUGGCAUGCUGGAGUACUGGAGAGGCAGGCGGAAUUCCUAGUGUAGCGGUGAAAUGCGUAGAUAUUAGGAGGAACACCAGUGGCGAAGGCGGCCUGCUGGACAGAGACUGACGCUGAGGCUCGAAAGCGUGGGGAGCAAACAGG
rnacentral:rRNA from 1 species